UUGUUGAUGGCUGAGACCAAUAAGCGGUAGAUUGUAAAUCUAUUAACGAAGAUUAUCUUCUCAACAAC
rnacentral:tRNA from 1 species